GUAGGCUGGUGAUACUUGUACCAACUGGAUGAGCAGCGAACGGGUGAGUAACGCGUGGGGAAUCUGCCUUUGAGCGGGGGACAACAUUUGGAAACGAAUGCUAAUACCGCAUAAAAACUUUAAACACAAGUUUUAAGUUUGAAAGAUGCAAUUGCAUCACUCAAAGAUGAUCCCGCGUUGUAUUAGCUAGUUGGUGAGGUAAAGGCUCACCAAGGCGAUGAUACAUAGCCGACCUGAGAGGGUGAUCGGCCACAUUGGGACUGAGACACGGCCCAAACUCCUACGGGAGGCAGCAGUAGGGAAUCUUCGGCAAUGGACGAAAGUCUGACCGAGCAACGCCGCGUGAGUGAAGAAGGUUUUCGGAUCGUAAAACUCUGUUGGUAGAGAAGAACGUUGGUGAGAGUGGAAAGCUCAUCAAGUGACGGUAACUACCCAGAAAGGGACGGCUAACUACGUGCCAGCAGCCGCGGUAAUACGUAGGUCCCGAGCGUUGUCCGGAUUUAUUGGGCGUAAAGCGAGCGCAGGUGGUUUAUUAAGUCUGGUGUAAAAGGCAGUGGCUCAACCAUUGUAUGCAUUGGAAACUGGUAGACUUGAGUGCAGGAGAGGAGAGUGGAAUUCCAUGUGUAGCGGUGAAAUGCGUAGAUAUAUGGAGGAACACCGGUGGCGAAAGCGGCUCUCUGGCCU
rnacentral:rRNA from 2 species